AAUGGAAUGCCGCCGUCGGUAGGGGUCUGCCGGGCAUAAAGGGGCCUUCGGAACCCCACCAGAGUCACAGCCAGGAAGGGCAGCGGGGCGCACCAGGCCGAAGGCUCACGCCACAGGGAGGGCAGCUAGGACAUGGGGGGAAGCGCGUUAAACCAGGGAGUCCUGGAAGGGGACGACGCCCCCGGCCAGUCCCUGUACGAGCGGUUAAGUCAGAGGAUGCUGGACAUCUCGGGGGACCGGGGCGUGCUGAAGGACGUCAUCCGAGAAGGAGCUGGAGACCUAGUGGCGCCUGAUGCUUCGGUGCUAGAUAUUACAUUGUGGGGCAUGGAGCUGGGCCUUCUGAGCAUGCAGAGAGGAGAGCUGGCCAGAUGCUUCGUCUUGGGUAAACUCCUCGACUCCCAAGGCCCCAGCCUCCAUCUUUACCUCAGAGCCUCCUGAACCUCCUCCUCCAGCCUCACCUUCCUCCAGCCUCACCACUCCUCCCUGGACCUGCAGCUCCGCACCCCCGGGGGCCUCAGAACUACCCCUUCCAGGGCCUCAGAACUACCCCUACGGUUUCUCCUGCGUAACCUUCUGCCUACCUUCCUGAGAGUGGUUGGUGACAGCAGCCGGGGCUAGAAACCUCGAGGCGACUGUGCUUGAGUCCUCUCUUGCUCUUUACAUCCCAAAUCCCAUCAAUUGUCACGCCUUGUGCCUUCCGCCUCUCAAAUAUUCAGAAAGCAGAUGUAUGCUGGGCACGGUGGUGACUCAAGCCUAUAAUCCCAGCACUUCGGAAGGCGGAGGCAGGAGGAUCGCUUGAGGCCAGGAAUUUUAGACCAGCCGGGGCAACAUAGUGAAACCCCAUCUCUACAAAAUAAAAAUAAAAAUUAGCUGGG